GACGAACGCUGGCGGCGUGCUUAACACAUGCAAGUCGAACGGAAAGGCCCUGCUUGCCGGGUACUCGAGUGGCGAACGGGUGGGUAACACGUGGGUGGUCUGCCCUGCACUUCGGGAUAAGCCUGGGCAACUGGGCCGAGUACCGGCUAGGAGCCAUUUUGAGUGUGAUGGUUGGAAAGUUUUUUCGGUGUAGGCUGAGUUCGCGGCCUAUCAGCUUGCUGGUGGGGUGAUGGCCUACCAAGGCGGCGAGGGGUAGCCGGCCUGAGGGGGUGGACGGCCACCUUGGGUCUGAGGGGCGGCCCAGACUCCUACGGGUGGGAGCAGGGGGGAAUAUUGCCCAAUGGGCGCAAGCCUGAUGCAGCGACGCCGCGUGGGGGAUGACGGCCUUCGGGUUGUAAACCCCUUUCGCUAGGGACGAAGCUUUUUGUGACGGUACCUAGAUAAGAAGCCCCGGCUAACUACGUG
rnacentral:rRNA from 1 species